UUUUCAAGCUUAUGUUCGAUGCCGUUUGUGUAGUUAGACUUAAGAUGUUAUUUGAUUGCACCUUAAUUUUUGUACGUUGUUCUGCUUUGUACCUCCUGCAUAGGUAACUUUGCAUAACUGUGUUAAAGCUUCCUUUAAUUCCUUUUUUUUUCUUGAAGCAAAAGUAUUCCAGUUGCUAAUUUAAAACCAACGCUGUCUCUUCUGAUUGUAGAGCACACAUAAAGCAAUUAAUCCAUCUGUAAAUAGAUAUUGUGGUGCAAUUUAACUUAGCCAGUUUUGAUUUGUGUCACUAGAAACCGACAGCAUGAGUUGUCUCGUGAUAAGUCAGUUAUGCUCAGUCAGAGAAACUGAGAGGACAAGAGACAAGAGUUCACUGCUGAUAGUGACUGUCUGAGGGAAAGGGAAGAUUAUCUCACCAACCCAGCCACAGGAACCAGGUACAUCAGUUUUCUUAUAAACUGCGGGUGACUUCCCUCCAAAUUCACAUGUCUACCGCCCAUCUGAAACUUUCAGUGGUUAGUGGAACUACAAUGUCUCACUGUUUUUCCUCUAAUGAAACUAGAAGUUGUUUGCUAACGAUUUUCUUUUCCUCAAAACGGUUUGCAGUGGGGUAACUUGAUGUUGCCUAUCGCGUUGAGUGAAAAAAACAAUCAUUUAUGCUCUUGAGGUCUCAAAACAUUACUCCAAAGGUUUUGAAUAAGGCUAAAAUAUAUGUUAUUGUUCAUUUCUGACAUUUUAUGUGUUGGCUUGAGUCCCUAAUUCAUAAAAGAGAAACCUACAUGGUGAUGGCUUCAUACUAAAAUGAUUCUGAAUCAGUGGUUUUGGUUGUAUAUAGCACAUGCCUGAUGUCUGUAUAAAAAUUGAAUGGAAUAUUUGAGUGAUUUAUUGUUGAAGGUUUGUCAAUCUUAUUACAUCAGCUGAAAACAAUAAAAAGGCUCUCAAAAA